AGAGUUUGAUCAUGGCUCAGAGUGAACGCUGGCGGCGUAGAUUAGGCAUGCAAGUCGAGCGAUAUCUUUUUUUUGAGAUGUUGAGACCGCAAGGUGGAUAUGUCAAGAAAAAAAGAAUAUAGCGGCAGACUGGUGAGUAAUACGCGAGUAAUUUACCUCUAAGUCGGGGAUAGCCUUGCGAAAGUGAGAGUAAUACCCGAUGUGUUUACGACUGCAUAAGCAGUUGUAAGUAAAGGAGGCCCGCAAGGGUUUUUGUUUAGAGAUGAGCUCGUGUCCUAUCAGCUAGUUGGUGGGGUAACGGCCUACCAAGGCUUUUGACGGGUAGCUGGCCUGAGAGGGUGGUCAGCCACAUGGGGACUGAGACACUGCCCCAACUCCUACGGGAGGCUGCAGUCGAGGAUAUUUAGCAAUGGACGAAAGUCUGACUAUGUGACGCCGCGUGAGGGAUGAAGGUCUUCGGAUUGUAAACCUCUUUCGAUGGGGAAGAAAACCUGCUUUAAUACAGCAGACUGACGGUACCCAGAGAAGAA
rnacentral:rRNA from 1 species